UACGGAAGGCAGCAGUGGGGAAUAUUGCACAAUGGGCGCAAGCCUGAUGCAGCCAUGCCGCGUGUAUGAAGAAGGCCUUCGGGUUGUAAAGUACUUUCAGCGGGGAGGAAGGCGAUGCGGUUAAUAACCGCGUCGAUUGACGUUACCCGCAGAAGAAGCACCGGCUAACUCCGUGCCAGCAGCCGCGGUAAUACGGAGGGUGCAAGCGUUAAUCGGAAUUACUGGGCGUAAAGCGCACGCAGGCGGUCUGUUAAGUCAGAUGUGAAAUCCCCGGGCUUAACCUGGGAACUGCAUUUUGAACUGGCAGGCUUGAGUCUUGUAGAGGGGGUAGAAUUCCAGGUGUAGCGGUGAAAUGCGUAGAGAUCUGGAGGAAUACCGGUGGCGAAGGCGGCCCCUGGGACAAAGCUGACGCUCAGGUGCGAAAGCGUGGGGAGCAAACGAGGAUUAGGAUACCCGGU
rnacentral:rRNA from 1 species